rnacentral:miRNA from 1 species
UACUGCACUCGUCCCGGCCUAGC